rnacentral:rRNA from 1 species
UACAGAGGUCUCGAGCGUUUAGGCGGAAUCACUGGGCUUAAAGCGUGUGUAGGUGGAUCGUUAAGUACCUUGUGAAAUCCCACGGCUUAACCGUGGAACUGCUUGGUAUACUGGCGGUCUUGAGCCACUUAGGGGCUACCGGAACAAAUGGUGGAGCGGUGAAAUUCGUAGAUAUUCGCAAGAACACCAGUGGCGAAGGCGGCUCACUGGCCCGGUACUGACGCUGGGGUGCGAAAGCGUGGGGAGCAAACAGG